AUGCUUCCUUUCGAUCUUAACAUACCACCAGAGCUGCAAGUUCAUGGCGAAGAAGAAGGGAGCAACGGCCGCGGGCAAGGCCGGCCAGGUCUUGGUCAUGCCGGCUGCGGGCAAGGCCAGCUACGCCUCGGUCUUUCCGGGCAUGUACGCCGGUGUGGGCGUUUUCCUGCAUCCAUAGGUUCAUCGCCUGGCCGUGGACAAGGCUGCGAGCACAGCCCCGCGCUCCUCGGGGGAGGACACGCUGCCGUUCGCGACAUAGGUAGCUCGUCCGGCGCUGAACGCCAUCUUCGUCUCGGUCUUGCUGGUCGGUUGCCGUCGGUGGCGAGCUCCUCCAGUGGUAGUAUGUCCGGCUGGCGGGGCAGUCGUUGGUUCACAAGGCACGAAGACGGCGGCGCGUACUGUGCACACGACGGCGGCGCGUACGAUGCCCACGACGGCGGCGCGUACUGUGCACACGACAGCGGCGCAUACGGUGCCCACGACGGUGGCGCGUACUAUGCACACGACAGCGGCGCGUACGGUGCCCACGACGGCGGCGCCUUCCGUUCUCACGAUGGCGGCGCGUACGGCGGCCACGACAUGGACCAGCACGUCGAGGAAGAAGGCCACGGCACGGACCAGAACGGCGAGGAAGAUGGCCAGGGUACGGACCAUCACGGCCAGGACGGCCACGACAUGGACCAGCACGGCGAGGACGACCACGGCAUGGACCAGCACGGCGAGGAGCACGGCCAUGGCAUGGACCAGCACGUCGAGGAAGAAGGAGACGGCACGGACCAGAACGCUGAAGAUCAUGAGACCAACAACAUCAUCGAUCUAAGUAGGUUUGCUUGCUUUGUGUAUGAACACUUAUUUUUUAGUUCGAAUAUGCAAUGGAACAGUACGUAUAUUUUUUUAUCGGUUUCAUAG
rnacentral:rRNA from 1 species